rnacentral:misc_RNA from 1 species
CAUUUGACCUGAAAGUACCUGCAUGG